AACGAACGCUGGCGGCAUGCCUAACACAUGCAAGUCGAACGAGACCUUCGGGUCUAGUGGCGCACGGGUGCGUAACGCGUGGGAACCUGCCCUUAGGUUCGGAAUAACUCCCCGAAAGGGGUGCUAAUACCGGAUAAUGUCUUCGGACCAAAGAUUUAUCGCCUUUGGAUGGGCCCGCGUUGGAUUAGCUAGUUGGUAGGGUAAAAGCCUACCAAGGCGACGAUCCAUAGCUGGUCUGAGAGGAUGAUCAGCCACACUGGGACUGAGACACGGCCCAGACUCCUACGGGAGGCAGCAGGGGGGAAUAUUGGACAAUGGGCGAAAGCCUGAUCCGGCAAUGCCGCGUGAGUGAUGAAGGCCUUAGGGUUGUAAAGCUCUUUUACCCGGGACGAUAAUGACAGUACCGGGAGAAUAAGCGCCGGCUAACUCCGUG
rnacentral:rRNA from 1 species